GCAAGAUUCGAUUCCAUAAAAUUCGAGUGUUGUAGUUAAUGUUUAUUUUCUAUGUUUUUCGCACAUGUGAAACAACGAAAUAUCGAUCUGAACAACAUUAUAUACAAAUACAGCGGCUUCAAGUUCACUGAAAUUAAUUUCUGUAUUUUAAGUGCUGUUUAUUGAAUAGUUUCAGACAUUCAAUCAAAGAUGAAAAUAGUGAAAAUAAAUAAAGCUGAUAAACAAAUGACCGCUUCUUAUUCUUCUUCUGAUGCACAACUGCUACAAGUGUUUAAUUUCUCCAAAUGUUGUAAAAGCUGAAAUAAUUUAAAUUGUGUGAUUCUGUACCAGGGAGACUAUUUUACUUAGCUCUCUUUUUAUCAUAACUAUUGAAAACUUGUGACAAGUGGCUAGUGCAGAAGAUAAUGUAUCCUGGAAUUAUGAUUAGAUUUUGCUGCAAUGUAGACAUUUGAUUGUUACUGCUGAAAUCUGUUUUUCCAAAGUAGCAGCAUUUCAUCAAAUGAUGUAUGAGAACUGUGCAAAAGAAAUUUGACUGUGAUAAUUAUUGAAUUUUUCAAAGUUUUUAUGCUAAACUGCAAUUUAGGUAUAAAGGAAAUAAUGUGACCUCCAAAAAUUGUUUUAUUCAUUUAUUAGUUAUUUUAUUCUAUGUGUAACUAUGUAAGCAAUUUUGUAUAAUGUAAUUUUCAUCAUAAGAUAUUAUUUGCUAAGCAGUUUUAUGAGUGCUUACUAUUAAUUUUGAAUUAGAUUUUGUAAACUGUGCAUUGUGUUACAACCUCAUCUUAAUAGCACAGUGAAAUCCUGCUACAACAAAUGCCAAUGCAACAGAAUAUCUGUUUCAAUGAAGUAAACUUUCAAUCAGUUUAAUUUCUAUUACAGUGAAAAAAAAAAAAAAAAAAAAAAAAAAAAAUCCCUUGAAGUUGUUGUUGCAGAAUUUCACUGUAUAUUGUUAAAAUAUCCUUUUGAUUUCUCUCCUCAGAAUUUCCUCUUUUUUUCCCUCUCUCUCAUCUUUAGUAGAUUUGAGUUCAAAGUAAUAGAUCUGUUGUACAUGUGAUUUUUAUGUUUACAAAUACAAAUACAAAAGAGACGACCAGCAACAGGCUCUGGGCCCAGCUAGACUGGUCCUAGUCAAUUUAUAAUCCCCAGUGAAGAUCAAUGGCCCUCUUAAAACUAUCUACUCCCUUGCUCAUUACCACCUCUUCGGGUAAGCUGUUCCAAGGUUCCACUACCCUGCUGAAAUAAUAAUUUUUCCUAAUAUCCAUGUUCGCCUGAGAUUUAAAUAACUUAAAACUAUGACCCCUUGUCCUGUUUUCAGUGCUAAACUUCAGCCCUGUAACAUCUUUCAUUUUAAUAAAUUUAAACAACUGAAUCAUGUCCCCUCGGUCUCUUCUUUGCUCAAGACUAUACAUUUUUAGCCUUCUAAGCCUGGAAUCAUAGUCCAAGUGAGAAAGUCCAUUUAUUAGUCUUGUAGCCCGCCUUUGAAUCCUUUCCAAUACAUUAAUAUCUUUCUUAAGAUGAGACCAAAACUGAACAGCAUAUUCCAAAUGAGAUCUUACCAAACUUCUAUAUAAGGGCAGAAGAACUUCUUUAGAUUUGUUUGAAAUAGAUCUAUUGAUAAACCCAAGCAUCUUAUUGGCUUUGUUACUAGCAAUGCUGCACUGUUGGCUAAACUUUAAAUCCUGACUUUUUAAGACCCCCAGAUCAGUAACUUUGUCUGCCUGACUAAUGACUUUACCUUGCAAAUAAUAACUUGUACACUUGUUUCCAUGCCCUAAAUGUAGCACUUGACAUUUCCCAACAUUAACAGCCAUAUCCCAUUUAUCAGUCCACUCCGUAAUAUGAUCUAGAUCAGUGGUUCCCAGCCUUUUUUGGCCCAUCGCCCCUUUUGAAAGUUAAAUUACGCUUAUCGCCCCCGUGUUCUUCCCUUAAAAACACAAAUUAGAUGGCAGUAAUUUUAGUGAAGUUUAAUGUUACUGAACGCCUAAUUUUAGUUUAAAUCUUCAAAAAGUGCAUGAUAAAGCAAUAAUUAACUUUAAAACUGAAUUUUAUAUUC